CCUACGGGAGGCAGCAGUGGGGAAUUUUGGACAAUGGGGGCAACCCUGAUCCAGCCAUUCCGCGUGAGUGAAGAAGGCCUUCGGGUUGUAAAGCUCUUUCGCAAGGGAAGAAAACUUAUGAUCGAAUAAAUCAUGAGGUUGACGGUACCUUGAUAAGAAGCACCGGCUAACUACGUGCCAGCAGCCGCGGUAAUACGUAGGGUGCGAGCGUUAAUCGGAAUUACUGGGCGUAAAGCGUGCGCAGGCGGUUUUGUAAGUCGGAUGUGAAAUCCCCGGGCUCAACCUGGGAACUGCGUUCGAAACUGCAAGGCUAGAGUGUGUCAGAGGGGGGUAGAAUUCCACGUGUAGCAGUGAAAUGCGUAGAGAUGUGGAGGAAUACCAAUGGCGAAGGCAGCCCCCUGGGAUAACACUGACGCUCAUGCACGAAAGCGUGGGGAGCAAACAGGAUUAGAUACCCUGGUAGUCCACGCCCUAAACGAUGUCAACUAGUUGUUGGUAGAGUAAAAUCUAUGAGUAACGUAGCUAACGCGUGAAGUUGACCGCCUGGGGAGUACGGUCGCAAGAUUAAAACUCAAAUGAAAUUGAACCGGNNGAGAGNGCGAGACGACGACGAGGAGGAGG
rnacentral:rRNA from 1 species